AUUAGAGGCAGGGGUGACGGUGUCUUGUCUAUAUGAGAGUCCCUGGUCUUCUCUCGCCACAUCCACAUGGAAAUUGCUUUUCUGCUCCAGUUAGCAACACUCUCUGCUGUCCAGAUUUUCUUCUUCAGGGAGGGCCUCACAUCCAACUAGCCACGCCGCUGUGUGACAAGAGGAGAAUUUUGUGCAAACAUCACAUACUUUAAUUGUCCUGUAAAUUGCAUCUUUACCAUUGAUGCUUUGACUGAUCUAUUUAGAUUGCUUUAUUAAUGCAAUUAGUAAUGUGUUUUGAUUCAUACAUUUCAUUAUUUUCUGUUUGCUGCCUUUGUCACCACCAUGUAUUUAAGCCUGACCUCUUUGGCCUGUUUGGGUAAUGUCUGACUACAUGUUAAUCACACAAUCUGUUGACUUAUGUCUGUGCAGAAUUUUGGUUGGGGGGUCCAGGUAUUGGAAUACACAUACUGACCCUUCCCGGUGUACUCAGAAUAAACAUUUGACCGAUCCCAAUAGAAUUUAGGGAUUUAUUUUGACAAAGGGAUCUUAAUCCUCUCCCAUUUGUGCCCAAUAAAUAUUCCCUUAUAAGUUAUUAUAACAUUUUUUUUUGAUCAUUGAACAUAUUUUUUUGUUUCCCGUAUCAUUUCUAUUUUACGUCUGAGUUUGGAUUGCGGCCCUGUAGCGCCACACCCGGCCGGUAUUUUUUCAAAUAAAUUUUCUCGUAUUUUCCUUCUUUUUUUCUCCGGGAAGAGACUCAGUGGUAAGGUGAGUACCAUGAGCACGGCUGAGAGAAAGACCUCAAAUAUUUUUCAACGUAGAAUUCACCUUCCUCUGGGACUCUGAGGUGUGAUUAUUAUACGUUUUAAUAUUACGUUUUAGCCUCAUGAGGUAGAGUUAAUUUUUCCCAACCUUUUUUUUUCCUGUCUGUUUUCUAUUGAUCCUCUUUCCAUUAUCUGCAUUCUGUUAUUGAGCACAUCCGCUGAGGCCUUCCUGGUGUUCUUUUUUUUAAUCUCGGCUAUUGUAUUUCUGAAAUUAGGAAAAAAAAAAAAAAAGAAAUACCUGCAAGGAAACAGCUUAGGCAAGGAACAAAUGGUUUUGUUUUUUGUUGUUUGUUGUUUGUUUUUUUUUUUUUUUCGGGCAGAUAGCUGCAGAGACUUCCUGUCUUGUUACAAACAAAAGAAAAAACAAAAAAAAAAAGGAAUUAAUUGAGGUCUGGAGAUGGUGUGCACCGCUCCUGAAGAGAAUCCGACGCCCUCUUUCGGCUUCUGCAGGCUCUGUGCACGUCUGUGCACACACCCAAACGGUGCACGUGAAAUACACAUAAUUAAAAACAAUAGCAUUCAUUAAACUCAUUUGCUUGGGACCUGGCUCUCCCCGGCCACCUCUGGACUCUCAGGCUCGAACCCAGGUCCUUGUCCCCGCAGGCCAACCGCUCUCCUAGCUGGGCCACCCUGUCUUUUUAUUAAACCUUUUAUUUUUUUUUAAAUAUAUAUAUAUUUAUUUACUUAUUAUGCAUACAAUGUUCUGUCUGUGUGUAUG